rnacentral:SRP_RNA from 1 species
GCUGGGCAUGGUGGCACGUGCCUGUAGUCCCAGCUACUCGGGAGGCUGAGGUGGGAGGAUCGCUUGAGCCCAGGAGUUCUGGCCUGUAGUGCACUAUGCUAUGCCUAUCGGUGUCCACACUAAGUUCGGCAUCACUAUGGUGACCUCCCAGGAGCAGGGGACCACCGGGUUGCCUAAGGAGGGGUGAACCAGCCCAGGUCAGAAACCGAGCAGGUCAGAACUCCCGUGCUGAUCAGUAGUGGGAUUGUGCCUGUGAAUAGCCACUGCACUCCAGCCUGGUCAACAUAGUGAGACCCCAUCUCU